rnacentral:lncRNA from 1 species
GUUUUAAUAGUAUACACUCCUGUAGUUGAGUAUAGCCAUACUAGUUUGUCUUUUCCAUUGCAGAUGCUGAGUGGAAUACUGGUGAUACGCUUGCAAUCUUCUUCACUAAACAUUGCUUUUAUUUUAUCCACAUUCCACUUUCCAGUUUGUAUUAAUUCAUAUACCAUCUAAGUUGACAAUUUGGUGGCUUUGAAGUAAAUACCUUCCCUUUUCCUCUAUCCAUUAUCCAUUUGUCCCUCCAAAUAUCGAUAGUACGUCCAUCUCCCACCCUUUUUCUAGCACCCCUUUCAAGCAAAUCUCUGGUUCUAAAACCUAAUCCC